GUGCUCGCUCACUUCAGCAGCACAUAUACUGAAAUUGGGAUGAUACAUAGAUUAGCAUAACCCCUGCACAAGGAUGACACAACAAUUCAUGAAGUCUUUCAUAUUUUA